rnacentral:ncRNA from 1 species
UUAAAGACUGUGAGAGGAAGUAGUAAAUCGUUUAACUUUCAGAGAAUUGUCGGACGGUGCGAGACAAUAAGAAUUAGACGGUUGAACUCGUCCUUAAGUUAUGUAGAUGAAAUAUAAGUAAUUUACAUCGGCUGCUAACCGUUAUUUAGCCUAAAGAGGAUAGUUAAAUUAUUCUAUUAACUUGGGUGGUACCGCGAGAUGGCCUCUCGUCCCAAAU